rnacentral:rRNA from 1 species
GAGUAUGGUCACAAGGCUGAAACUUAAAGGAAUUGACGGAAGGGCACACCAGGAGUGGAGCCUGCGGCUUAAUUUGACUCAACACGGGAAAACUUACCAAGACCGAACAUUAGAAGGAUUGACAGGUUAAGGGUCCUUUCAAGAUUUGAUGGGUAGUGGUGCAUGGCCGUUCUUAGUUGGUGGAGUAAUUUGUCAGGUUAAUUCCGGUAACGAACGAGACUGAAACCUAUUAAUUAGUUAACUAUCUAUAAGGUAGUUAUGUAGCAAUACAGAUGUUUUCAUCACUACUUAAAGGGACACAUUUCAAUUGUUUCCAUUUAAUAGUGGAGGUUUUUCCAAAACUUUUAAAAGGAAAAAAAGAAAAAGGAAGCGUUCAGCAAUAACAGGUCUGUGAUGCCCUUAGACAUCUUGGGCUGCACGCGCGCUACAAUGGAGUUACUAGAGAGUAAUUUUGUAACGCUAGCAUUUAAGUAAGCUUGCUUACUUAGGUGUGAUGUUUUACUAUACCGAGACUUAAAAGUUUAGGAAAUCUCAAAAGAACGUACUUGACAGGGAUAAAUGAUUGGAAUUAUUUGUUUUGAACGAGGAAUUCCUUGUAAUAUCACGUCAUUAACGUGAGAUGAAUACGUCCCUGCCCUUUGUACACACCGCCCGUCGCUCCUACCGAUUGAAUAAAAAGGUGAAAUUCUAGGAUUUGACCGCUCUGCGGUUGGAAAAUGGAUU